rnacentral:rRNA from 1 species
GACGAACGCUGGCGGCGUGCUUAACACAUGCAAGUCGAACGGAAAGGCCCUGCUUUUGUUGGGUGCUCGAGUGGCGAACGGGUGAGUAACACGUGAGUAACCUGCCCUGGACUUUGGGAUAACUUCAGGAAACUGGGGCUAAUACCGGAUAGGAGCUCCUGCUGCAUGGUGGGGGUGGGAGAGUUUCGGCGGUUGGGGUUGGACUCGCGGCUUCUCAGUUUGUUGGUGGGGUAGUGGCUUACCAAGGCUUUGACGGGUCGCCGGCCUGAGAGGGUGACCGGCCAAAUGGGGAUGGGGAUACGGCCCGGACUCCUCCGGGAGCAAGAAGGGGGGAAUAUUGCACAAUGGGCGGAAGCCUGAUGCAGCAACGCCGCGUGGGGGAGGACGGCCUUCGGGUUGUAAACCGCUUCCGCCUGGGACGAAGCGUGAGUGACGGUAACGGGUAAAGAAGCACCGGCUAACUACGUG